rnacentral:rRNA from 1 species
GAUGAACGCUAGCGAUAGGCCUAACACAUGCAAGUCGAGGGGCAUCACGGAGUAGCAAUACUUUGGUGGCGACCGGCGCACGGGUGAGUUACGCGUAUGCAAUCUACCUACAACAGGGGGAUAACCCGGAGAAAUCCGGACUAAUACCGCAUAACACAGGGGUCCCGCAUGGGAUUAUUUGUUAAAGUUUUAUCGGUUGAAGAUGGGCAUGCGUUCCAUUAGGUAGUUGGUGAGGUAACGGCCCACCAAGCCUGCGAUGGAUAGGGGAACUGAGAGGUUUGUCCCCCACACUGGAACUGAGACACGGACCAGACUCCUACGGGAGGCAGCAGUGAGGAAUAUUGGUCAAUGGGCGAGAGCCUGAACCAGCCUAAUCGCGUGAAGGAAGACUGCCUUAUGGGUUGUAAACUUCUUUUGUACAGGAAUAAAAAGAGGGACGUGUCCUUCAUUGCAUGUACUGUACGAAUAAGCAUCGGCUAACUCCGUGCCAGCAGCCGCAGUAA